rnacentral:tRNA from 1 species
UGGGAGAUCGGCUAACGGUAGGCCGGCAGGCUCUGGACCUGCUAGUGGGGGUUCGAAUCCCUCUCUCCCAGCCA